rnacentral:lncRNA from 1 species
GGGAAAGGAUAGGCGCCGCCGUGCUGCGUGAAGCUACCGCCGCCGUUCCUGCUGCCGUCCAGCCUCAGUUAGCACCGCCGAAGCUCCUGCCAUCACCGUCGUUGAGGAAGCUCACCGGAGUUGCUGGAGGCUACCGCCGCUCUACCUGGUUCUGUUUUGAGUCGCGCAACCGUGUCCGUGGCCGCCGGAGACCGUAUCUGAAGCCUCUGUCUUAUUGGGUUUUGGUUGUUGCAAGUUACUCGGCUAUACGCUGUUGUCGGAACCAGGCCAGAUUUACCGGUAACUGCUUCCUCCUUUCUUGAAUCUGUUCUAUUUCUAUUUUGCUCCGCUAUUCUGAUUUUAUUGAUAUCCCUGCUGCCUUACCAAUCGGAAUAGUGUUACUGCCAUCAGGACAGAUGCAUAGGUCCCUGAUUAUGUUCUUUGCUGCUCCGUCGUUUUGUUUUCUAUAGCUGCAGUAAGUUAUUUUAACCUUGAUAUCCUUACUGCUAUUAUUUUGCUAUGAAUUAUUGAGAAUUUCGUGAUAUUGACGUUCUAGGUCGAGUUUCGGUAAUUGCAUGGUUGGAGUAAAAGUUGUUGUGAAAGUAAACGGAACUGCGGUUGCAGCUGCCGCUGAAUGCGAGCCGAAAGAAAAAGAGUUUAUAUCUCGUAGUUAGAUCGCAAUCGAGGUAGGGGUUUUUCUUAAAAUCUAAUUUACAUUACAGAGUUGUGAUAAAUAGAUAUUGAUGCAAAAAGAUAUAUUUCUGUGAUUAUAUUUGUCUUGUGGAUGUGAUUGCUUGUUGGACUGAAUUAUUGGGUGUUUGAUUGCUUGAGUGAAGUAUGGUUGUUGAUAAGAAAUGGAUUUGGAAAAGUCAUUUACUUGAUUAUUAUAAAAAGUGGUUUUUCUUGAAUUGAAGUUAAAGGGGUUUGAUUUUGACUUUAUAAAUAAUUUUGGAAAGUGAUUGCGAUUUGGAAUUGGUUGAGAAAGGAUUUGAGAAAUGUCUGAAACAAUUCAAAGGAAUUUGAAUGAAAUUGAGAAUUUGAGUUGAAACAUGAAGGUAUCUGGUGAAGAAGAAGGUAGGGGAAGAAGCGGAGGAUAAUGGCCAGGAGGAAGAAGGCAACAAGUAGUUAAAAUUAGGGUUUAGUUCUCAAAUUUUAUAUGGGGAGAAUUUUAAAAUAUCAAAAGAUUUGUAUCUUUUGAUGUAAUUUUUAAUAAAUUUAAAUAAAUUAAAUAUAAACCAUUAGAUCGUUUAUCAAUUUAAUCUAAUGCUUUAAAUUAAAUGGUACAUCAGAUAAACUCAAAAGACUUGAGAUGAUUUUAGACAGACCACUUUUUAUCUAUCAAUUAUAUUUGGGUAUAAUAAUAUAAAAGUACUUUUUUGUUUAUUUAUUACAUGAAAAACAUCUUUUUUUUAAGGAAAAAAGAUCUUUUAAAAAAAAGAUGUAAAUUACAGUUUUUCAAAAAAGAUAUUUUUUAUUUUUCUAAUGUUUUUACUUUUACUAUUAGAAAUUUGUCAAACACGUUAAAAAACAAAAAAGAUUUUUUUAAAAAAAGAUUUUUUUUAAUAAAAAAAAUUUUUUUAUCAAAAUAAUGGUGCCCAAACAUGCACUUAAACUAGCGUUUGCUUUGAGGUACUGAGACAGAAACUGGAAGACUGACACUCAGUAUCGUGUUUGUUGGUUCAGAGACUGGUACUAAAAUUUCUAUCUCUGUUCCCAAAAUCUCAGUAUUUCAGUACUUCUAAAAUGUAGGGACACAGGGGACUCAAAUUUUUAGAGAUAGAGAUUGAAACUUUAAUAAUAUUUUAUACCUAAAAUAUUCUCAUUUCAAUUAAUUAAUUUCAAUUUUACCCUUUAUGCAAAUUAAAUUAGAGUUUCAUUCUUUUUUCAAUUUUUGUCUCUCACUUUGUACCAAAUAGAAUACUGAUAUUUAUUUUAAUCUCUGUCUCUUAAUCUCUGUCUCUCUAUCAAAGGCUAUCGUACUCAACUUUUUCUUUUAACUAAGUUCAAAUAUACUCCCUAUUUUGGACUAUUAUUUUAGAAUCUUUUCAAUUUUUUAAACAUAAAACAAAUAAAAGGGUAAAUUACUGAAAUAAAAAUGACAUUCUAGUAUCACACCACUCACUCUGGAUUGGUAUAUAUAGUAUGACUUGGUGCGUGCAUAAAUCGAUGGACUCCUUCCACGGUUUAUGCAUAUUUUGCAUCCUCACAGAAACUGUGGAACCCCUUCCACGAUUCUUUCCAAAUGCUUCAUCUCCAGCGGUUUACAUGUAUUUCAAAUUUGUGGGCGAAAGCUAGUGCACUCCAGAAAAAGUAGAGAGUGCAGCACUUCGCGCCGUCGUCGUCGCCGAAGGGAGCCAUCGUCGCUGUCAUCGGAACAGAGGGCGAGAGAGAGACAGAGAGCUCGCGGUGGGGGAAAGGAUAGGCGCCGCCGUGCUGCGUGAAGCUACCGCCGCCGUUCCUGCUGCCGUCCAGCCUCAGUUAGCACCGCCGAAGCUCCUGCCAUCACCGUCGUUGAGGAAGCUCACCGGAGUUGCUGGAGGCUACCGCCGCUCUACCUGGUUCUGUUUUGAGUCGCGCAACCGUGUCCGUGGCCGCCGGAGACCGUAUCUGAAGCCUCUGUCUUAUUGGGUUUUGGUUGUUGCAAGUUACUCGGCUAUACGCUGUUGUCGGAACCAGGCCAGAUUUACCGGU